rnacentral:ncRNA from 1 species
AGAGAAAAAGCCAAACUUACUGUGAAGUAAGGACGGAAAGCCAUGGGUCUCUAGCAGAUAGCCAGGUUACCAAUC